CACUGCACUAACACGGUGUGUUUAUUACUAAAUGUCUGUUUCUAGUUACCACGGCAGAGAGCGGCUCAUCAACUCCAACCUCAUAUUUAACCCAGGGGCUCUUUGAAGGUAAAUCUGGUUAAUAAGAGCGACCUGGGCUGUUCCUCCGGCUGAUCCUCCGACUGCCCCACCUACGAUCCCAUAGAGAACCAUCCCCCCCGGCCCCUCUAUUGACCCAAACAAUGCUCCCACAACAGCUCCCAUGACCAGACCCGUGCCCAGCCCUCUGACCAGCGACGUUCUGAGCCACCCGUUGUCCAUCUCCGCCUUGGCUCUGAUCUCGGCGCCAACGCUGGCGGUGUAGGCGUCCUUCUGGUGAUACAGCUCCUCCGCUAUGUACUGCUUCUCCAUCUCAGACCAUGCCUGAUCGAUCUCUGCCGCCCUCUGCUUCCUGAGCUUCUUCUCCUCCCUCUUCACGAAGUCCUCCGCCUUCUGGAAAGUUCUGCUGGAGAAGCAGCUUCCCCCUAACGAGGCCACCAUCCACUCGAUCUUCUGCAGCAGCUCUCUGUCCCGGCUGCGAUCUCUCCAGUUCUUGCUGAAAACGUGAAAGCGUCCGCCGUACCUCUCGAUGAGUUCUCUCAGGUGCCAGUCCGUCUUCUCCACCCUGUCCACCAGCGCAGCUUCCUCCAGGUUCCCCUCCGAAGCCAGGAGGACCAUGCAGUGCUUCAGACAGUGACUCCCGAAGCGUUCCUUCAUCAGCCUGUGGGUCUUUAUGUCAUUCGGGGAGAUUUUCUCCAUGUCAAAGGCGAUGAGAAAGGCAUGGGGACCAGGGAUGCACAAGCACUUAGACCUUCUCAGCUCCAUCUUCCUCCUGGGUCGAGAUAUAUCCUUGUCAUAGAUGUUCGGUCCAUUGAUCACGGCCAAUCGUCUACCGGCCAUCUCUCCAGUAUUCUUCCUGCUGCCAGAAAUGCUGGUGGUAUCCAUAGGAAACUCCUCUCUCCCCAGUAUGGCGUUGGUUAGUAGGAACUGAGAAGAUCCACUGCUACCAACCACCAUGAGCCUUAAUUCUGUGGGAGAUCCUAUAAAAAAGAGAAGUUGAAAUUUAAAAAAAGAAGUAACACCUGUUGAAUGGAAAUAGUAUGUGCAUUUGUUUACACUCACUAUUGUUAUUUUAAAUCACAUUUUUACAUUGUCUUCCUGUUGAAUUGUCAGGUUUGAGUUAAUGAAAUCCAUCUUCAAAGUUUCUUUCAUAUUUCUUAUAUUCCAACGAUUCAGUGUAUUUAACAAGGCCCUGUCGUAUAUGACGAAAAAGACGAUUUGCUAUUUUAGAUUUUCCUGUAGCUUCAGCAAGACUGCAAGACUGCGCUUUGAGCUCAAUGCCAACAAUGAUGCAGAGGUGAAAGGAUGUUGUUCACAGUGUUUUUCGUUUUGGUUUAGCAUGCUGGCAUGAAGCAUGGAGUCUUUAGCUGAAAAGUCCAAUGCUCACAUUUUCUUUAAAGGCAUCAUAAAAAAACAACAAGUGAAUGUGCAUUUUUUGCUGUAUGCAUUCUUUACUAUUUGACUGUAUCUAUCUAACACUAUUAAAUUCACAUAUCAAUGUUGUAUAAACAGAACAAUGCAAUAACAAAUAUAACUGAAUUGUGACUUUGAA